UACGUAGGGGGCUAGCGUUGUCCGGAAUCAUUGGGCGUAAAGCGCGUGUAGGCGGUUCAGUAAGUCUGCUGUGAAAGUCCAGGGCUCAACCCUGGGAUGCCGGUGGAUACUGCUGAACUAGAGUGCGGAAGAGGCGAGUGGAAUUCCCGGUGUAGCGGUGAAAUGCGCAGAUAUCGGGAGGAACACCAAUUGCGAAGGCAGCUCGCUGGGACGGUACUGACGCUGAGACGCGAAAGCGUGGGGAGCGAACAGG
rnacentral:rRNA from 1 species